rnacentral:rRNA from 1 species
UCAAACGAUGAAAGCCCAGCUUGCUGGGUGGAUUAGUGGCGAACGGGUGAGUAACACGUGAGUAACCUGCCCCUGACUCUGGGAUAAGCCCGGGAAACUGGGUCUAAUACCGGAUAUGACUUUUGACCGCAUGGUUGAGGGUGGAAAGAUUUAUCGGUUGGGGAUGGACUCGCGGCCUAUCAGCUUGUUGGUGAGGUAAUGGCUCACCAAGGCGACGACGGGUAGCCGGCCUGAGAGGGUGACCGGCCACACUGGGACUGAGACACGGCCCAGACUCCUACGGGAGGCAGCAGUGGGGAAUAUUGCACAAUGGGCGCAAGCCUGAUGCAGCGACGCCGCGUGAGGGAUGACGGCCUUCGGGUUGUAAACCUCUUUCAGUAGGGAAGAAGCGAGAGUGACGGUACCUGCAUAAGAAGCCCCAGCUAACUACGUGCCAGCAGC